rnacentral:ncRNA from 1 species
AGGAGCCGUGCGAGAUGAAAGUCUCAUGCACGGUUUUGAAUGAGAGAAAGAAGUGAGGAAUCUUCUACCAGGCACGAGAUAGAUCUUCCAAAGAACAAGGCUUUUUUCGAAUAAGCCAAUUCAUUUGGGAUCCUAC